GAUGAAGAACGUAGCGAAAUGCGAUACGUAAUGUGAAUUGCAGAAUUCAGUGAAUCAUCGAAUCUUUGAACGCAUAUUGCGCUCUCUGGUAUUCCGGAGAGCAUGCUUGUUUGAGUAUCAGUAAACACCUCAACUCCCCUUUCUUUUUUUGAAAUGGGAGCUGGACUUGAGUGAUCCCAACGCUUUUCUCACCGAAAAGUGGCGGGUUACUUGAAAUGCAGGUGCAGCUGGACUUUUCUCUGAGCUAAAAGCAUAUCUAUUUAGUCUGCCUAAAAAACAGAUUAUUACCUUUGCUGCAGCUAACAUAAAGGAGAUUAGUUCUUGUGCUGACUGAUGCAGGAUUCACAGGGACAGCUUCGGCUGGCCUUUGUAAACUCGAUCUCAAAUCAAGUAAGACUACCCGCUGAACUUAAGCAUAUCAAUAAGCGGAGGA
rnacentral:misc_RNA from 1 species